CUUGUGAUACCCAAGAUCUCUAGUGUAAGAUCUUCUAUCCUAUCUGUCAUCUCUUUACAAAUUCUACUUGAAGAUUAGGUAAUUCAGGGCAUUUGCAAGGUUAUUAUUGCUGUGAGCUUGAUAUGUCAACCUGUCUUGCUGGUUUUCCUCAUACUUGGUCCCUUGUUCUUGUAUCUGCCUGUCGACAUGAUAUCUUCCUGUUUGCUUUUUUAUCUCAAUUUAAAAGCUCUCUGCAUUUACUUUUGUUUAAUCAAAAUUUUAUCAAUUUUGUUGCAAAUUAUUUGCACUUGCUGACUGUGGGAGUUCCUAUAUGGCGUGAUUAUUUGGUUGCCCAUGCUUGUGUCUUUUUGAGGGCAAUGCCAUGUUAUUUUCUUCUUCUUCUAAUUAUUUGGAAUGACCAUGCUAUUUUAUUUUACUUUGCAUAAUAAUUCACUUACAGUCUUUUUUAUUGCUAUUCUUCUUAAUUGCAGAGAUCUCCUGUUGUGGGUAUAUU
rnacentral:misc_RNA from 1 species